rnacentral:misc_RNA from 1 species
GACCGUAGGCGCCGCCGGCGCCGGCCUGGCGCUCGGCUACUCCAUCGGGACGCUCGCCCGCGAGCACAUCCCCGGGCUGGCGGCCGCCGCCGACAAGGCGGCCGCGUCUCUGUGGCGACUGUUCUCGGGCCCGAGCGCCAACCUCUCCACGCUAGAGCGGGAGGUGGCGGCCGCCAACGCCAAGAUCCUCAAUGCCCCACUCACCGACCU